UAAAUUUUCUAACAAAUAAAUAAUUAGGAAGAUCUCCAUACAUAUAUGGAAUAAAUAGAGCAUCCAAUAAAAUCUUGACUUAGACUUUCUUGUAGACUUCGCAGCCUCUCUUUUUUACUUGCUUGCUUCAAUUUUCUUCACAGAUCUCUCCUAGUUUUUCUCUGCGCUUCGGCAAAAACAGAAACCAAAGAGGAAGUGCCAGAAAAUUAUAAAAAAACAACAAAGGGUCAUAACUCAUAAGCCUCAUAAGCUUUGUUUUUGCCACGACAGUGCAAUUUGUUGGGUACACAGUGGUUGAGGUGUGUCGAUAGGCCCAAUGUUGACAUCAACGAGGCCCAACAGCUGUUAACACUCGUUUCAGAGCCCUUUCUUUCUCUCUUGGGUUUCUCACUCUCCCCAUCUUUUUUCAGUUUUUACAGUUUUUGUUUGACACAUAUUGAAGGUUAGGUGUCAAUAUUGAAUAACAGCUGAACACAGCUGAACAUUCACACUUAACAGCAUUUUGAAUCUGCAACUAAACCUUACUAUCAAAUACCUUUUUUUUUAUUUACUACCAUGAUUUCAAUGCCAAGAUUCACUGCAUCUUCAACGUGAAUCUAUUUGUUCCACCCAAUUUUCCUCGUUCCCAAUCAUAAGUCAGAGCCAUGACUAUUAUGCCACUGAUGUUUCGGUCAAUAGUGAGACUGCUCACAUCACUAGUGUCUCAACCAGCAGCCUCUGUCACUACCAUACUCUACUACAGUGGUCUCCUCCCUCGAAACCUGAAUUUGGAGCGAUUGGUUAGGACUGAAUUCCUUGAUCGAGAGAACUAUAUGUUCCAUUUUCUCAUCAACAUGAUGAGGUGUUUCUGGUAGCUGAGCACCAUCCCCCACAUAAAUUCUUAUCUCCUAUGGCUAUGGUUAAUCUUAUUUUUGUUAUGGUAGAAACUUUAAGAAAAGUUAGGUACUCCUUUCAAAAAAAAGUUAGGUACUUAGCUACUAGUAUAUGAACCCCAAUUUGUUUCAGAUUGGACCAUAUUUUUAAUGCAAUCAUACCCAUUGAUGGAUUAGUGUUAAGUGAGUUAACAUAUGCAAUUUUCAAGAGAGAUUUUGAGAACAAAGCAAACUCAAUUUAUGGUAGAGGCAGACUGUAAAUUUGAGAAAAUAUGAUGUGGCUAGAAUUUUUGUUUUCUUGAAGAAGGGGACACUAUUGGUAUGGAACCUCCUUCAGAAAUCAUUAUUGAAUGUACUUUAAAGCAUUUGCAUGAUUCA